rnacentral:rRNA from 1 species
UGAGUACGAGCUGCUACGGCAGCGAAGUGGGUGACGUCAAGCUUCCAAGAAAAGCCCUAUACCCGUUAAGGCAUGAUGGCCUGUACCCGAAACCGACACAGGUGGGGUGGUAGAGAAUACCGAGGGGCGCGAGGUAACUCUCUCUAAGGAACUCGGCAAAAUGGCCCCGUAACUUCGGGAGAAGGGGUGCCACCGCAAGGUGGUCGCAGUGAAGAGGCCCAGGCGACUGUUUACCAAAAACACAGGUCUCCGCUAAGUCGCAAGACGAUGUAUGGGGGCUGACGCCUGCCCAGUGCCGGAAGGUUAAGGAAGCUGGUCAGCGCAAGCGAAGCUAGCGACUGAAGCCCCGGUGAACGGCGGCCGUAACUAUAACGGUCCUAAGGUAGCGAAAUUCCUUGUCGGGUAAGUUCCGACCCGCACGAAAGGCGUAACGAUCUGGGCGCUGUCUCGGAGAGAGGCUCGGCGAAAUAGAAUUGUCUGUGAAGAUGCGGACUACGUGCACCCGGACAGAAAGACCCUAUGAAGCUUUACUGUAGCUUGGUAUUGUGCCCGGGCUCUGAAUGCGCAGGAUAGGUGGGAGGCUUUGAUCCAUUGCUUGCGGGUGAUGGUGAGCCAACGGUGAGAUACCACUCUUUCAGAGCUAGGGUUCUAACGGUCACCCGUUAUCCGGGGACCGGACAGUAUCAGGUGGGCAGUUUGACUGGGGCGGUCGCCUCCUAAAAGGUAACGGAGGCGCGCAAAGGUUCCCUCAGGCUGGUUGGAAAUCAGCCGACGAGUGUAAAGGCAGAAGGGAGCUUGACUGUGAGACCUACAAGUCGAACAGGGACGAAAGUCGGCCUUAGUGAUCCGACGGUUCUGAGUGGAAGGGCCGUCGCUCAACGGAUAAAAGUUACUCUAGGAUAACAGGCUGAUCUCCCCCAAGAGUUCACAUCGACGGGGAGGUUUGGCACCUCGAUGUCGGCUCAUCGCAACCUGGGGCUGAAGUCGGUCCCAAGGGUUGGGCUGUUCGCCCAUUAAAGCGGUACGCGAGCUGGGUUCAGAACGUCGUGAGACAGUUCGGUUCAUAUCCGGUGCAUGCGCAGGAAUAUUGAGAGGAUUUCUCCCUAGUACGAGAGGACCGGGAGGAACGCACCUCUGGUGUGCCAGUUAUCGUGCCAACGGUAAACGCUGGGUAGCCAUGUGCGGAGAGGAUAACCGCUGAAAGCAUCUAAGUGGGAAGCCCACCUCAAGAUGAGUAUUCCCAUGGCGUUAGCCAGUAAGGUCACGGGCAGAACACCCGUUGAUAGGCUCUACGUGGAAGCCGGGCAACCGGUGAAGCGGAGGAGUACUAAUAGACCGAGGGCUUGACC